UCCUACGGGGGGCAGCAGUGGGGAAUAUUGGACAAUGGGGGCAACCCUGAUCCAGCCAUGCCGCGUGAGUGAUGAAGGCCCUAGGGUUGUAAAGUUCUUUCACCUGUGAAGAUAAUGACGGUAGCAGGAGAAGAAGCCCCGGCUAACUCCGUGCCAGCAGCCGCGGUAAGACGGAGGGGGCUAGCGUUGUUCGGAAUGACUGGGCGUAAAGGGCGCGUAGGCGGUUUUUUAAGUGAGGCGUGAAAGCCCUGGGCUUAACCCAGGAGGUGCGUUUCAUACUGGAAGACUUGAGUGCGAGAGAGGAAAGUGGAAUUCCUAGUGUAGAGGUGAAAUUCGUAGAUAUUAGGAAGAACACCUGUGGCGAAGGCGGCUUUCUGGCUCGCAACUGACGCUGAGGCGCGAAAGCGUGGGGAGCAAACAGGAUUAGAUACCCUUGUAGUC
rnacentral:rRNA from 1 species